GGAAUCUGUGAGGCCAAGAACCCCAGGUCAGAGAACAUGAGACUUGCCACCAUCUUGGAAGCAGCCCACCACCAUCUUGGGAGCUCUGGGAGCAAGGACCCCCCGGAUACUAUAAGAAGAUUGGGAUAGAUACUGAGUGAGCCUCAGAAAAUCAGCUGGAUACACCCCAGUGGGGGAUUUGAUGCAGCAAUAUGCAGGCAUGGGAUAUCAGAAAGAGCCAGAUAACCAAAGGAAGAGUAGUAGCUGAAGCAGGAUUCUAAGACCAAGAAUAUUAAUUUCAGGGCAGAAGAGAUUUUUGCUGUUUCGGUCGUGGCAUUAUCUCCAGUAUUUAUGUGCCUGGAACAUAUUAGCUGCAGCAGAGCCAUCAGAAAACAACUCCUGAUUUUAGUUGAUCAGAUUCAAGUCAAUGAAAAAAUGACGUUUCUGUGUGUCUACUUCGGGCUAAGCACCAGGGUAGGCACAAGAGAGAUCACAGGGAUGAAUUAGUCCUAGCCCCUUGGAGAUUAUCCUCUCACCCUCUCCCCGCCAUAGUUAUCUUGGUCCUUUUCACAUAUAUCUUAGCAGGUUCUGUUUCAGGCAAAGUUUCACUUCUGUAUAUGUUUGUUACUACUGUUCAUUUGAGAUCUGCCACUAACCCUCAUUAUGACCUGGGACAUGUCUGUGGCCCCUCCACAUGCUGGCAGGAUAAAAAUUGACCAAAUAUAUGAUGCUGUCACAUAGAUGGAUCCUAUUAUUUGGUGAUUACAUUGAAAUCUUUACUGUAAAAAUUGUGUUGUCAAAAAUGAAAACAGAUGAUACUGAGUAACUCACUAGUGCCCUAAAGUACUCUACAGCUUUUCAAACAAAAUUGAAUAUUCUUUUCAACAUUCUCUCUGUAAAAAAAAAAAACAAUUCUAUAUUAGUGACCCUAUAUCCAAUAGCCAGUUCAAAUUUUGUUUUUCUCAUGUCAUACAUCUCUCUUUUGACUUCUCUGAAGUCAUCAAUCUACUGGCCACUUACCUUGUGACACAGUGGCAGAAGAUGUAGGAAAAUCUGUGCUACCCAUCAUUGACUAGCCACUUUACUAUCUGAGGUUUGUUAGUCUCAACUGUAAAAAAAGGAUCAAAUGAUCUGGUGUCCUUUUCCAUUCAAAGACUCUUGAGGUCAAAAGAAUUGAAUAGAAUCACAUUGGAGAAAAACCCUAUGAAUGUAAGAAAUGUGGUUUGGCCUUCAGUUUUCCCAGUUCUUUUUGAAAACAUGGAAGAGCUCAUGUGGAAGAAAAGCCUUAUGAAUGUAAGAAGCAUGAUGAGGCCUUUAGUUGUUCCAUUUUCACUUCAUGGCAUAACUUAUUCUGGAGAAAAACUAUGAAUGUAUGGAAUGUGGGAAUGUUUUCAUUUCUCAUAUGUAUGCAAAGAAACAUGGUAAUAGACACUGAAGAAAAUUUUAUAAAUAUAAGAAUGCAUACUGGAUUAAAGUACUAGUAGUAUAAAAAAUACAGAAAAAUGGCGUGAACCCGGGAGGUGGAGCUUGCAGUGAGCCAAGAUUGCAUAACCGCACUCCAGCCUGGGCGACAGAGUGAGACUCCAUCUCAAAAAAAAAAAAAAAAAAAAAGUACAGAAAAGUUAUCACUUUUAACAAUUACUUUAAAAGUCACGUGAAACUUCUACUGGAAAGAAAUCCUACACGUAAUAUGGAAAGCCUGGUGCAAAAUAAUUAUUGUAUAAUGCUUGUGAAAAUUCACAACAUGAAUAAAAUAUUACAUGACUUAUAAGGUG
ensembl:lncRNA novel transcript